GAGGGUGUAGCUCAGUGGUAGAGUGCAUGCUUAGCAUGCACGAGGUCCUGGGUUCCAUCCCCAGUGCCUCCA
rnacentral:tRNA from 1 species